AAUUAAUGAAACAUUUUAAAAAGGUGGGCUUGGGGAAGCAGUUUAUCAUAGGGAAAAUGAAAAUAUUUGUGUGACGGGUGACACGAUCUUGUGGCACAUCCCAACAUGAUAUUACAUAGUAAGAACAUUAUGACAGUUAUGGUGCCUGAACUGCUACUCUUCUGUUACUCUCCUUAAGGAGAAAGACAGAGCUGCUGUAAGCUUCUUGACAUGUGGUCAGAGUGGUCUAAUCCAGAUGCCUCAAAUGUAAGUUUACCUGUGGAUCCUGGUGGGCCUCGGGGUCCUUGUGUUCCAACACCUGGAUUGCCUUUCUCUCCUUUCUCACCUGGUAAACCUAAGGAAAUAGUAUUCAAUCACAUUUUGAUCAAAAGUGUGAGUAGUGUUUAUUAUUGAACCAGGAUUAUAGUUCCAUAUGUUAUUUUUCAUCUAAAAACAGAUGGCAGAGAAGGAAGAAGGUGAAAAUUAAAAAUUGUUUGGUUCUUUUUCCAUCCCUCCCCUGACAGCCUCUGAAGGGAAAAGUCAUUCUUGGGGUCUUAAACAUUCCUGCUGCCAUGGUGGUUUCAUCAGGAUGGCAUGCAGAGGCAUCAGCCAGUUUCCAGGCUGCACUUCCUGUGGAAAGCUGCCUCUGAACUACACCAGCGCGCUACUAUUGUAACUGCUACCUCUUAGGGCAAAACAGCUGGAGAACACCUCAUUUUUGCAAGGAAUCACAGAAUCACAGAAUAUGCCAAGUUGGAAGACACCACAAAGAUCAUCAAGUCUGGUUCCCAGCCCUGUACAGGACCAUCACCAUGAGCCACCAUGUGCCUGAGAGCAUUGUCCAAAAGCUUCUUGAGCUCUGUCAGGCUGAUGCUGUGGCCACUUCCCUGGAGAGCAAUUCCAGUGCCUGAACACCCUCUGGGUAAAAAACCUUUUUCUGAUACCCAGCCUAUGCCUCCCCUGACACUUCAGGCCAUUCCCUUGGGUUUGUCACUGGUCACCACAGAGCAGAGAUCAGUGCCUGCCCCUCCUGACAAGGAAGUUGUAACUGCAAUGAGGUCUCUCCUCAGUCUCCAGGCUGAACAAACCAAGUGGUCUCAGCCCCUCCUCAUCAGGCUUCCCCUCAGGGAGUUACAGAAGAUAUUUUUUACCUUCUUAAGCUAAUUUGUAAUGGAAGCAAAUAAAUAAAAAGUCUAAGUGUGGAAAAAAUUGUAAUUAAAACCCCUCAGUGGCAAAGAAUUGCUCGCACAAGUUUAUCAAAUACGAGUCUGCUGAACUGAAGUGGAUUCAGCAUCUGUGGAGUUCUGGGUCUUCUGCAGGAGCAAGAGGCUUCCAGGGCAACAUAAUGUCUGGCCCAACGACAUGGAAAACACAAGUUACACCACUGCAACCAGUAAAUCCACAGUGAGCACAUCAUUUUUAACCAAAUCAUGGAAGACCUUUUUACCUUACCUCUACAAGGUUCUUUGUCACUGUCCUGGCAUAGUUAAGGCAUUGCCUGUUUGUUUUGCUUUUUUGCCUUUUAUUUCCUUCAGUUGUAUAAUUUUGAGGGAAGGGUGGUGGUGGUUUUUUCCACAUGCUUGAAAUUUGCUUAGCCCUGGCUUGCUUCAAACAUAUGCAGAAACUCAUCUAUUGCAAUUCUCUGUCUGUGCUGCAGGCCUUGUAAUAAGGUAAAUGUUACAAUCCAAAUUAACUCUCACCACAGAGGACCUGCAAGGAAAGGUUUGCCCUUUGCAAAAGGUAAAAUCUGUUUGUGUGAAUUGCUUUUUUCCUUAGAAGAUUGACCCAUUACAACCAUCUGCAAUCUACACAGCUGUUUAGUACAAGGACCAUUGCUUAUCCUACUGCAUGAUAACAUUACUUGGUGACUUCAAAGGCAACAGCCACAAUGUUUUGAAAUCACAGCCUGCCAUGCACUCAAUUAUAAUUAUUAACACAUAAAACUACACACUCAUAUGUGAUGUUCACAGGAUAAAAUGUCAGUAAGAAAUGCUAAACAUGGAAUGAAUCUACUCAGGCUAAGAAGAAAACAUUUAUUCUAGAAUAAAUGAUGAAUAUCUUGUGCAGGGCAAACCUUCUUCGAAAGCAAACACUGAAGGCCAAGAUAAAAGUCUGCAUCAGGUUUCUUUUAGUCUGAUUUCCAGUAAAGUUUAUCCAAGUUAAAGAGAACAUAAACACUGAGGCAAAAAUAUCCUACUCUUAAGGCAAAAUGCUCAUGAGUUAAAGCCAUGAGCUUCCCUAAGGGACUUAAGAGACUCACAGACCUCUUGGCUCACUCCUGAUAAAUGGCAGAAUAUUCAAAAUUGACCCAAGUCAUAUUUGGUGCUAGCAGAGCAUGGCUCACAGAAAGUCAAGCAAACAAGCCAUCACUCUUGUGGGUUACUGCAUUGUGGGUUGCUGCAAUGGUUAAUUGCCCUAGAACGAAAGUGUGUGUAUCCAAACUGCCAUUUGAGUUACGAAUGCCUUCGGAUCCCAGGAACUGCUUUCAUAUCUGUGCUCUGGACAUGCUUCAGCAAUAACAUCAAACUGUCUCCCCCCUCAUAACCAUGGCUUUACGUCUUGUCCCCAUCCAAAAUACACGUCUUCAGUUCAGCCCCAUGGAGAUCACAAGCAACUGAAAUCAAUUAUUUCCAGCCCUUCAUUAAAAAUAACUGAUAGCAUCAGUUAUUGAAAACACCAAACUCAUGAACAUGUUCUCUAGCAAAGAAAAAUAAAUUUCCAUGGUAUCUGCACAAAUGGAAAUAUCAGGUGUUCUUUACCUGUUUUGUCUUCAAGAAAAUACUGUCCUGUGAGAACUAUGCACUUAAGAAAAAUUAAACUAUACCAAAAAUGUCCUCUUUUCAAGAUGUUCAGCUGUGAGCAUAGUGUAAAAUAACACAUGGUUGUGAUUUUUUUUCUUUUCUAAUACAGAUGAAGCUAAAACUGGAAAUUAAAAUAUUUAGUUGAUGAAACUGGCAAAAGUUCCAUUUAAUUCCACUGAAAUUUUGCCAUCACAGCUGUAAACGUGUCUUUUGAUAACACAUGUUUAACUGGCUCUUUCAUAUGAAGCCAGGAAGUAAAUAAGGAUGAAGCUGUGCUUGAGAACAGUAACUUUCCCAGUGACAGCUUAGGUAUUUAUUGUAUUUUAAUCAUAGUGGGGAUGGGCUGAGUAGCUGUAAGUUUUAUUCACCACUUUAGACCACAUAAGAGCUGAAGUCCAUUCAGUAGUAGAAGAGCUGCACUUUCACAGCAUCUGAAAGUUAGCAGUGCCUCAGAAUAAUUUUUACUAUGGCUUUUCCAUCUUUCCACAAAGUUGAGAAAACUACCCAUAUAUUACAAAAAUAACUAGAAACCAAAAAGAAGAAAACAACAUGUUGAUUCUUUUGGUUUCUGUACCAUUUUGCAGAGAUGCAACUACCUCCUGGGCACUCAGAAGUCAGGCACUAGUUGUUUAAGUCCCAGAUCAUAAACAAAAACAAAACAAAAUAUGUUCAAACUAGCUGAAAGGAAGAUAGAAACCAAUGCUGUGAGCUAGUUAAAAUUAAAAUAGAGAUAAGGGCUGUGAAUAAUCAGUGUUUGUUUUUUCUUCCAAACUCCUAUACUUAUGCAAAUAAGCAAAGAGCAAAAUUGUAGUGAUUUAUCUGGGAUUAUAUGCUGUAGGGGCCUGGUAAUAAAAUGUGGCCUCUCAGCUGGCAACAGACACUGAGAACUGAAUCUGGCGAGGGAAUGACUUGUCCUUUCUCACUGAGGUGGUCUUUCUUGGAAAGACCAGCUCAAUGUGCUACUACUAAGGGGAAUCCCAUCCAGGAAUGGGACAUCAUGGACAUAGAAGUUCAAGUGGAGGUUUCUAACAGAGCUCCAUACACUCAAUCCAUGUCUCUUUCCAAAGCCUCUGAUUAAUGCUUGGCAGAGUGACAACAUAAACAAGGGAAAAGAAGCUGUUAGCCAGGCAAGUUAGCAGGGAAGUUCACUGAUGUCUCCCACUGCUGACAUUUCCAGUAAAGGUCUCUGUGGUGCACCAUUUCUAGACAGUUCCACAUGCUGCUUUAUGAAGUGCCCCCUUCUUAUAGAUUGGGCUUGAAAAGGUGGUAGGCAAGAGAGCUGAGCUGAAAGAAACAUCUGGCCUUCUUCCCACUCCACCAGAACCUUGCCACUCAGCUCGGAGCCCGUAACAGGCUCUUGUAGCAAUUCCAACGGUUUGAGGGGGGGAAAGCAGCACUACUAGAUAAGCAAACCAGUGUUUUUUCCUUCUAAUGACUAUUACUUCUUAGCACACUCGGCUGCAGGGAAUUUCCUGAACUUAAAUGCACAACUUGACUUUCAGAGUUGCAAAUCUGGCACUGGGCUUGAACAUUAAAUCGGCUUCAUAUGCAACCAAAAUGCUGAUGACAUUAAUGGAACACAUUUUACAUAAAGACUUCCAGGUGGCUGGCUGGAGAUCUUCAGGACGGGAUGAAACAUUGUGUUUGCCGAACAAGUUAAAUGAAAACAAUGCUCCAGAACAUAGCAAGGGAUGGAGUCUGACUCCAUUUACUCUCCUCUCUGUCGUCACUGGAAACUUAAAAACCCUUCCAUCCAGAAGCUGAGCAAUUUAAUCUGCUGCUUCCAUGUAUGACAUGUCAAAUCAAGCAAGAAUUGGGAAUCCAUGAAAAACUUCCAAUCAUUCUCCACAAGCUGGUUAAAUAAAUUUAAAUUUUAAUUUUUGCAUUUUGGGGUUGGCUUAAAGCAAUUCCUUAGAAAUUUAUUCAGAAACACCAUGAGUCUGUAGCAAAAGAUAUCUUUCUGCUCAGUAAAGUCCUACUGCAUCAAACACACAUCAGUCUGAAAGUUUAGUAGUUUCUGAAGAAAUUAAAACCUCAAGAAGCAAUAAAUUAUUAUAUGCUUUCAUCUCAUUUCUAAAGGAGCUCCUUCCUGUUUCUUUCAGAUUCUUUUUAAGGCUCCAGUUACAUGAAUGUCCUAAAAUCUAUUUUAACUCCAAAUAAAUUAGACAAUUAUUUUGUCUUAAAGUUUACGCAUGGAUUCUUGAUUCUUGAAACAACUUCAUUUUAAACUGAAAAUAUUGUAGAACACUCCCAACAUUUGGUAUCACAUUUUAUGAAAAUCUGACUGCAGUUCUGAAAGAUGCUUGAUUAGAGCUUUCUCUCUACCAAGUAUAAAACUCCCCACAAGCACUACCUGCCAAAAUCAGUUCCUUCUAACAUCAGUUAUCCAUAUAGAGAGGGAAGGGGCAAUAUUCUUUUUCAUGUCUUUUUACCCUUUCUGCGCUCUAUUGCCAAUGCUGCUUCCCAAACAUUCAUAUUGUCUGCAGUGGGCCAACCCACAUGAUGUUUCAUUUAAAUGACUGUAUCUAAUCAGUCUGUGAUCCCACAAUAUGCAUGUCUGGACAUCAGCACAGCAAAUACAAAAAAGUACAGGCUAAAUGUUGGAUAUGUUCCUUUUUUGUAGCCCGGCAUUUUGGUUUUCCCUUUCCCAAAGUCCUAGCUUGAAAAUUCUCUUCCCAGAAAGAAGGGAAAUAUUUAAAAUAUGCUAGUGUGGAAUCAAAUAUCCUGAAAUCUGUAUUAACUGUCUCCAGAUCACCCUUUUUAAAGUCAGUUCCUCAAUUGCUGUCUCUUCCAAUCUUCUUUUCUACUUGUCUCACACUACCUCAUUCCUCCUCCUUUCUGGAUAGUGCCUGUUUUUUGCUCAGCUGGAGCAGGCAACAGCAGGACUGAAGGGUCAGCACCUGAAACCUUCCUUUUUUUUUUCAAAAUGGUAAUGAGAUUUACAGUCUUGAGGGCAAGACUCACAAGUUCACUCAAAAGACUUUCUAUUUAAAAAGUAUUUAGUUAACUAUGGUUAUAAUAGCUACUGUGAACUGGAACUAUUAAAUUCCUGAAUAGUCUUCACAGCAGUUAAUUUUUAAAAUCCCAGUUAGCAUAUUUUGUAACAGCAACACCAAUUCACUGCUUCUGAAUAUCACAUUUGUCUCUUGGGUUUUUGGUCACCUCCUCAUGUGAUGUUCUUUAAAGCACUUUCACAAUUAUAGAUCUACUCAGUAUUAUGUCCUGAGGUUAGUGCUACUCUGGGACACAAAAGAUAGCCAGGGCUGCACAGAAAGAGAGUGAAUCAAACAUGGAGCUUGUUUCAUUAUUAGAAAAUGCUCAUGGAGGAAAGGAGAAUGGGAUCUAGCCUGCACAUGAGAAUACAGAAGAUAAUUCUUGUAAAUGUUAAAUGUAUUACUUCUCUCUGACCUCACCAUUUCCUCUUCUUGAUUCUCCAAACCCCUCAAAGUAGGAAUUUUUCUCUCUUUUUAUCAAUCUUGCUUCUUUCAGGUGAUCAUGACUCAGAAAUUCCUAGACUGACACAUUUGAAGUUAUCAGAAAAGCUCAGCAUUUCCCCAACAUACACAUCAAUUUUGCAUCUGACUCUCUUCAAUUGCUCUUUUGCAUAUACACUUAGAGAUUACGCUCACUUUAGAGUCUUACUAAGAAGAAACAUGAUGUGAUGGGAUGUGCACAAUUAGAUUCCACCAAUCUUCAGCAGUUUAAACAUUAAACCUCCGUCUGAUCCUGCCAAAACACACUUGGCAAAGCCUGCAUGAUUUUCAUGACAGAGUCUCCAAAGCCUUCAUUAUGGUCUGUGUUAAGCUCACCAAUUAAUUAAUGAGAAAAUGUUGCUUUCACAUUUAGACGGGAGACAAAAGUUGUUAGAAUGUAUCAGGAAAGGGAGGUAUAAUUUUGUGUUUGUGAAGAAUGAAGCCUACCUCUUUCUCCUGGUCUUCCUGGCUGACCAGGGCUUCCUGGAAACCCUUGCAUGCCUGGUGAUCCUUGCUCACCCUGUGGCCCUGGAGCCCCUGGCCGACCUGGCUCACCAGGAGGUCCCGCGAUGGUUCGUGUUGAGACAGACUGGCUUGGAAUCUGGUUCAGAAUCGAGUUAUAUCUUGCCAUAUGACCUGUCAGGAAUAAAAAGUUGUCAUUUUCAAGUAGCAGUGGAAAAUCUGGUUCCACACAGUUUCAGCAGAAUACUAGGAGGUUCUCAAGGCUGUGGUCUGUCAUGCUUUGGAAAGUUGUGUACUACUAGGGAAGAAGUAGUAGGUUAGGGAGGGCACAAAAACUGGAAGAACAAUUGUGCAGGAUUUUAUUUUCUUACUUCAGUAAGGGUUUGGGAGGCAUCUGUAUUUUAUGUCUAUAAAAAUUUUAAAUUGGUGCAGCAGAAGCUUCUGUAUACUGUAAUAGCUUGGAGACAAUUCCAGCUUUUUUUUUUCAGAAGGCUGAUGCUAAUCAGCACUAGCUGGACAUAAAUCCAGUUGAACAUAAAUCUAGUUGAAACAUAAAUCUCAACUGUCUAGUCUAAAACAAACAGAUACCCUUGGAUAUUUUGAAAAAUGUCAUAUUUGUAAUUAACUGUGGCAGAAAAAUCCAUUCUAGAGAGAGGAGCAUAUGGACUAUUUACUUGCCUUGGAUGAGCUGCUCACACACUUGACGAGCAACAGCCCGGACCAUUGCUUGGGACUGGAGAUCGCCCUGGAUAACAACAGCAGCAGAGUCAUGCAACUUUUCUUGAAUCAGUUCUGUGCUGACAGCACUUUGAGCAAAGAAGGAUAUUUAUUAUUGCUGAGACAUUACAUCCUCACAGAUGAGAAAGUAAAGCCAAAGAAAUUUUGUGAUUUCAUUGGCUUCCAUUUCUCUUUUUGGCCAGCAAUCAGAGGUCUGAAAAGAUAACCCUAAUGAGGGAUUUGGAGGCAUGCUUACUGCCACAUACUAACCACCUUCAAAACAUUAAUGUAGCUAUAUAAAAGACCAUGUCUGGAAAAGAAGGAAAGUUUGCUUAAUUGAAAAGAGAAAACUACUGUGCCUAUAAACAGAGAAACAUAAAUUUUUGGGAAAAGCUCUUUAUAAGACAGAAGGCCAGGCAGGAAAAAAAACCCACAGCUAACAUGAACACAGACUUACCCUUUCACCCCUUUCCCCCUUAGCUCCAGGAGGACCCUAUGAAAAGAUUCAAUACAAAAUUAAUUAUCUUUUUGCUCUGUUCAAAAUUUUUAACACCAGAACUUUGUCUGCCUUGCAGAUUCAUAGUAAAGGGAGAAGAAAUAAACAAUAAACAAGCUUUCAGGAGGUUAAGUGACAGUCACAAAUACACUUCUAUCAUUUCAGUACUCAACAAAAUGUUCACCUUUGGCAAGUACGUGGGAAAAAUUACUUUCACAAGAGUUUGCCACACAUUGAAUUGAAAUGAUGCAUUUCACAUGGCUGAAACAGGUCUAAGUUUUACAAAAAUAGCAGCCUGAAAUUUGCUGUACUGAGACUCGGCAUCCAUAAUGAACAGAGUAAGCAAUGGGAUUAAGCUGCACAGAAAAUUACAUUUGACAUUAAGGAUAAUGUAAUACUGUAAUGAUAGUGAGGAGGAUUAUAGAUUUGAAACCAUAGUCUAGGGCAGUUGCAACUUCACCAAUGUCAGUUUUUGGGGUAGGCUACAUAUUUCUGACCAACAGACAAGGAAAGGUCUGUUGGUCAGAGCCUGAUGCUAAUAGCACCAAGGCCAUGGUUUGAUGCCUGUAUGGGCCAGUCACUUGAGAGCUGGACUUGGUGAUCCUUGUGGUUGCUGACAGAUACGUGGCUAAGCACAGCUUAUUCUAUCCUUGCAGAGAGGAAACUCCUACAAGACUAGAAGACUAUUUCUAAGGCCUCUACUCUAUGACUCUAUGUUUUGGAUAGAAAGCUUAGUAAUUUUUCAGCCACCUGCUUUUUUCUGCACUACUAGAGUCCAACCAUGCACAACAGAGCUCUUGCAUGACUCACAGGAAUAUCUACACUCUAGAAAAUUUUGUUCAGUAUUUGGAAACAUGUGUUUGGACAGGAACUGCAUAGUCAGCAUUCUAUAUAUUGAUAGUAAAAGUUCAAUAGCUCAUCAAAUCUCCUUUGUAUAUUCCAUUAUUACACUUAGAAACUAUGCAGACCUAGGCAUUAGAUUAUUGUCUCUGCUUAUGUAUCAUCAGUCAAUUUAAUUUCAUUUCCACUUAACCAAAUGAAAAUUCUUGCAUUGGCUAAAUCUCCAAACCAAACUGGAUUUUGGAAAAAAGUUUUCUAUUCUACAAAUAGAGUCAGAAAUCCACACUGUCCCAUUCUGAUGUCUUUAAAAAUGAAAUAGAAUGUCUACUGUAAUAGAUGGGGAAAAGCUGAACCAUCUUUAUAAUUAAAAAAGUCAUCAAAUGUUAAAAUAUGAAUACAUAAUGUUGUCUGAACUCUUACAGAGACAAAGAAGUUCACUAUAAUUUUUCUUUUACGUAAAAUAUAUAUUAAUUUCAUAGCUG